rnacentral:rRNA from 1 species
ACCCUUUAAUGUUUGAUGUUCUAACGUGGACCCGUGAUCCGGGUUGCGGACAGUGUCUGGUGGGUAGUUUGACUGGGGCGGUCUCCUCCUAAAGAGUAACGGAGGAGCACGAAGGUUGGCUAAUCCUGGUCGGACAUCAGGAGGUUAGUGCAAUGGCAUAAGCCAGCUUGACUGCGAGCGUGACGGCGCGAGCAGGUGCGAAAGCAGGUCAUAGUGAUCCGGUGGUUCUGAAUGGAAGGGCCAUCGCUCAACGGAUAAAAGGUACUCCGGGGAUAACAGGCUGAUACCGCCCAAGAGUUCAUAUCGACGGCGGUGUUUGGCACCUCGAUGUCGGCUCAUCACAUCCUGGGGCUGAAGUAGGUCCCAAGGGUAUGGCUGUUCGCCAUUUAAAGUGGUACGCGAGCUGGGUUUAGAACGUCGUGAGACAGUUCGGUCCCUAUCUGCCGUGGGCGCUGGAGAACUGAGGGGGGCUGCUCCUAGUACGAGAGGACCGGAGUGGACGCAUCACUGGUGUUCGGGUUGUCAUGCCAAUGGCACUGCCCGGUAGCUAAAUGCGGAAGAGAUAAGUGCUGAAAGCAUCUAAGCACGAAACUUGCCCCGAGAUGAGUUCUCCCUGAGACUUAGAGUC